rnacentral:lncRNA from 1 species
AAAGCGUGAACGUGACGCAGAGCUGCCAUCGUAGCGGGACGACCUCACCGCGUUGACGUCUUGGCCAUAGUGCGACGCCGAGAAGUUGGAGAGCAUGAUGAGAAAACACCACGGGAGCGCGACGACGACGAUGAGGUGCCAGAGGAACGCUCGAUACGCGAGGAGGAGCCAGUGUGGGAGAGACAAUGGCAUGACAGGGAGCCAGAGGAGG